AACGAAGCACUUUUACAGAUUUCUUCGGAAUGAAGUUUAGUGACUGAGUGGCGGACGGGUGAGUAACGCGUGGGUAACCUGCCUUGUACAGGGGGAUAACAGUUGGAAACGGCUGCUAAUACCGCAUAAGCGCACGGCAUCGCAUGAUGCAGUGUGAAAACUCCGGUGGUAUAAGAUGGACCCGCGUUGGAUUAGCUAGUUGGCGGGGUAACGGCCCACCAAACCAACGAUGGAUAGGGGUUCUGAGAGGAAGGUCCCCACAUUGGAACUGAGACACGGUCCAAACUCC
rnacentral:rRNA from 1 species